rfam:Solanum tuberosum cultivar DM 1-3 516 R44 scf00265_32, whole genome shotgun sequence.
AAAUAAAUUAGAGGGCUAAUCUCAUUUGGCAGACAGCAAAUAAUGCAAUGAUAUAUGCUUAGUUUGUAAUAUGCAGAAUUAGUGAAGUCUGCCAAAGGAGAUUUGCUCUCUAAUUUUAUA